UGCGUAGGCGGUAUUAUGUGUGUGAUGUGAAAGCCCCGGGCUUAACCUGGGAAGUGCAUCGCAAACUGUAAAACUAGAGUAGAUGAGAGGGUGAUGGAAUUUCCGGUGUAGCGGUGAAAUGCGUAGAGAUCGGAAGGAACGUCAAUGGCGAAGGCAGUCACCUGGCAUCAUACUGACGCUGAGGCACGAAAGCGUGGGGAGCGAACAGGAUUAGAUACCCUGGUAGUCCACGCUGUAAACGAUGACAACUAAAUGUUGGUUGGGGAACCAAUCGGUAUUGAAGCUAACGCGAUAAGUUGUCCGCCUGGGAAGUACGGCCGCAAGGUUGAA
rnacentral:rRNA from 1 species